AGCUUUGCGCAGUGGCAGUAUCAUAGCUAAUGAGGUUUAUCCAAGAUUCGAUUAUUUCUGAUUGAAAACUUUUUCCAAUACCCCCCAGGACGACUUGCAACAUAGUCGACAUUGGCAAUUUUUGAGUCUCUACAGAGA